rnacentral:rRNA from 1 species
AGUCGAGCGGAAGGCCCUUCGGGGUACUCGAGCGGCGAACGGGUGAGUAACACGUGAGCAAUCUGCCCCUAGCUCUGGGAUAGCUCCGGGAAACCGGGAUUAAUACCAGAUACGACCACUUUAGACAUCUGCUGUGGUGGAAAGAACUUCGGCUAGGGAUGAGCUCGCGGCCUAUCAGCUUGUUGGUGGGGUAACGGCCUACCAAGGCGACGACGGGUAGCCGGCCUGAGAGGGCGACCGGCCACACUGGGACUGAGACACGGCCCAGACUCCUACGGGAGGCAGCAGUGGGGAAUAUUGCGCAAUGGGCGAAAGCCUGACGCAGCGACGCCGCGUGGGGGAUGAAGGCCUUCGGGUUGUAAACCCCUUUCAGCAGGGACGAAGCGAAAGUGACGGUACCUGCAGAAGAAGCGCCGGCUAACUACGUGCCAGCAGCCGCGGUAACACGUAGGGCGCAAGCGUUGUCCGGAAUUAUUGGGCGUAAAGAGCUCGUAGGCGGUCUGUUGCGUCCGCUGUGAAAUCUCGGGGCUUAACCCCGAGCCUGCAGUGGAUACGGGCAGACUAGAGGUAGGUAGGGGAGAAUGGAAUUCCCGGUGUAGCGGUGAAAUGCGCAGAUAUCGGGAGGAACACCGGUGGCGAAGGCGGUUCUCUGGGCCUUACCUGACGCUGAGGAGCGAAAGCGUGGGGAGCGAACAGGAUUAGAUACCCUGGUAGUCCACGCCGUA